UCAGCCUGACCUGAAGGGGAGCUCUCAACUGUAAACAAUGCCUCUGAGAUGUCCCUGCCCCAGGCAGGGUAUCUGGGCUUCCAUUCUUCUAUGCCUGUCAGCCACUGGCUAAGAGCCACCCUCGUUGAUAACCCAGGUACUUCAGUCUUUCUAUAGGUGGGCACAAAAGGGCAGUAGCACAAGAACAGCCCUCCCAGAAGAGCUGCAGGAGCCUUAGGUCAGAAGCAAAAGCAUGCCAAGUGGAAGGGGCAGACUCAGAGAAAGGGAUCUGGGAAUCUGCAGAGCCCCAGUGGGGUCCCUGCAGGGAUAAUGCCUAGUGGGAAGGAAGUAGCCACCUCUGUCACUGAGGCGAGGAGGGGAAGGGUGGGAAUGGCUGAUAGUGGCCAACAGGCAGCCUGUGCAGCGUGUGUGCAGUUCCUGCCUAUGAGAUGAGAUGGUGAGAAUCAUGGAAAGUCAUAAGCAAGAGGGAAGACAGAAAAGACCAGGAGACCAAGUGCUGCUGUGUGAGCUCAGGGCACUCUUCCGAGGUUAGCUAUUUUAAAUAGUGAUAACAGUUACAAUGGGGGCAAAUUGAUGCUGAUCAGCAAUGCAUGUAGACAUUUAAUUAUAGUAUUUAUUUUAUAAACAGGGAUUUUCUGGAACACAGAGUAUUUCCUUUGCAAGAACUGUCCAUAUUCUUUGUCCACUUACCUGUGGGGUGGUUGGAUUUCUGGUUGAUUUGUAGAAGCUCUUUCAAUACGAGGGAAAUCAGGCCUUGGUCUGUCAUGGGUAUCCCUGUGUUUUUUCUCAGUUCAUAGACAGAUUUUGUGUGUACACAGAUUCUUCUUCCUUGCCACAUACUGUGUGGGGGAGUGACAUUGCUAACUGUCCACCACGUUCUCCAAAAGACCUGUCAUCAUAUCCCACCCCUGGCCCAGGGCUGCUGGAAGACUGUGCCACAUAGGAGGUGAGGAAAGUAUCAGCCAGCAGGUUCUGCCCCAGCCUCUGCACAGAAGCAGAUGUGUCCCCACAAGGGUGUCCUGAUAUGUCAUGUUCCCUAGUUCCUUAGUCAUUGCUCAGGUUAUCAUGAGCAUUUUAGAGAACUUACUUUGUGUUUAAGAAACCUAAUGGUAUAUAAAGCUAUAAUGACUUUUAAUCAUAUGAAAAGAUAGUACAGACGGUGAGAGGGGAAACUGACAUGACCUGUUUGGUGGACAAUUUGCAAUAUCUAUUGAAAUUAGAAAUGCACAUGGCUCUGACCCAGCAAUUCCACCUUGAGAGUUUAUAAUAACAAUACAUUCACACAUGUACAUAAAGAAGUAUGUGCAAGGAUGUUCAUUUCCACAUAUGGAUUGUAAACUCCUCCACGGCAGUGACACUGAAUGUCUCAUUUUCUACUCUCUAUUCCCUAGAACAGUGACUGGCACACAAUAGACACGAAUACAGAUUUUUUUUUUUAAACAAUGAAGAGUUAAGGGCUGGGAAAACACCUGUGUUUCAUGGUUGACUAAUUAUAGUACCUCCAUAGAAUGGAAUAUUGUACAGUCAUGAAGAAGAGGUAGAUUGAGGUGUGUGUGAUACUGAACCAUCUCUAAGGUAUAAUGUUGUUAACAGCAAGGUGUAGAGUAGGGCAAGUAGUAUGCUGCUAUUUGUUUAAAAAGAAAAAAAUAACAUACAUAAAUGUGGAAAUAUGCAAAAACUGUCUCUGCAAAGGUUUAUAAGAAUUGCCAAUAUAGGAUGAGAGAGAAACUCUUCACCAUUGGCUCUCUUUUGUGGUGGUUGCUUUUUUCAUGUGUGUAUAAUGUAUAUUGUCUAUUCUAAAUAAGUAAAUAAAUGAGGUGCUGUUUCCGAAUGCGCUUCAAUCAGUUUCUCCUCCGGUAGGGAAGACCGCCACAGGAGCUUUACAGUGCUGUCGUUCUGCGUAGCCAGAGCCUGCCUGCCUUGCUUGCUUGUUGUGUAGUUCCAGCUUGUCUCCCUUUCUCUGAGUCUUGCCUCGCCACACUCUUUCUUGCCUCGGACCUAGUCAUGUUUCCUCACACUGAAACUUCCAGGGAAGGAGCUGCUGAGCAGAUUCGUACUGUAGUGUCAGUGGCUGCCACGGCUCACUGCAUUGCUCAUCUUGGAAGUACUGUUAUUUAAAUAGGGACCAGGUCUUGAGCCAAGAGACCUAAGUUCUGACUGAGCAGAUUGCAGCAUUGGCUUCUGUGCCCUAUGCUAGGUAGACGUAUCCAGCAGCCCCUGAACAGCUGUACUUGCCCCCCUCCUAUCCUCUUGACUACAUAAAGAGGCCAGAGAGCAGAGAGAGAGGGCUCUGAGAGGCAUUGGCUGUUUAUUUUCCUUGUCUUAACCAACUUGUUCUGCCAUAACAAAAUACCACAAACUGGGUGGCUUAAACAACAGAAAUGUGUUUUCGAUGGAUUGGAAGCUGGGAAGUCCAAGAUCAAGAUGCUGGCUGAUUCAGUUCCUGCCGAGGCCCCUCUUCCUGACGUGGCCUGAAACUGCAUGCUCACACAGCAGAGAGGGAAGCGGCAAGCCUCUGUGUCUCUUCUUAUAAGGACACUAAUCCCAUCAUGGGAUUAGUAAUUAUGGUUAGACUUCAUCUAACUGUAAUCGCCUCCCAAAGGCCCCACCUCCAAAUACCAUCACAUUGGAGGUUAGGGCUUCAACACAUGAACUGGGGGGACACAAUUCAGUCUAUAGCAAACCCGUCCCAGAGGGCCUGGGAUGUGUCUUCGCAGCAGAUGAGAGGACUGGGCAUGAGGAGACCAGGUGGUUGGCUGCGGAGAAAGAAGGUCAUAGUGACACUGCCAUCCUGGUUACCUUUGGCCACCCCAGCUUGUGGAAUGUAAGAAGGCCCAGGAGCCAGUUCCCAAGCAUCUCAGGCCCCAGGUUCUCUUAGCCAAGCCCUGAGAAUACAUCAAGAACAGGUGAGGGCAUGUGGACGCAGGUGUGCGGGGGGCCUCCCAGCAGCUGUCCCCUCUUCCUGCUAAUGCUGCUCUGAUUUUCACCUUUGCUCACCUCUCUCCAGUGCUGCUGAACACACCUCAUUCUGGCAAUCUGACUGGAGAGAGACAGUGUCACUGUGGUGGGUUCAGGGAUAGGCUCAGGACCCUAUUUGGGCAAGUAAGUCAGGAGAAGCGGUUGGUGGAGUCUUGGAGGGAAGUUGUCUUGCUCUUCUGAGAGUGUGUGCUCUCCCUUCCUCUACCGUGCAUGUGAGAGGAAGUGUGUGCCCCAGAAGCUGGUGGUGCCAUCUUGCCUCCCUCAGGAAAGAGGCUCAGGAUGGUGUCGACUCAGUGGAAGGCAGAGAUGAAGCCUGGAAAGAAACCAGGCCCUUGGGGGUGUUACUAACCCACUGGACCGUGACCCAUCUGAAGCCUGCCCUGUCUCUAGACUCAGAACCAGUUGCACAGUGGCUCAGAGAGUAGACUUGGAGCCAGGCUGCCCGGUUUUAUAGCCCUGCUUGACCUGUGUGAUCCGAGAAUAAUCUUGUUUAAUCUCCACAAGUUUGAGGACUAAACUGGGUGCCACAGAGAAUUAAGUAACUGGUCGAGGUUGUAUCAGUAAGAAGGGAGCACGGAACAGAUUCAAGCUCAGGUAUGGCCCACCCAAGUGCUGCUUGUACAUUCCACAAUUGGGUAGACUCUGAUUUACUUAAGGGUUUCGAUUACAGUGGCAAAGUGAAUUAAGGGCCAGGAAAUGUGGCUUUGUGGUUAGGUAAGUUGAGAUUAUUUCACUUGAAGAGAAGAAUACAGAAGAAGUCACUCAAUCUUUAGAACUAUAUUCAAAGAUCAUUUCCUUUUUUUUCUUUUUUUUUUCUUGAGAUGGAGUCUCACACUGUCACCCGGGCUGGAAUGCAGUGGUGUGAUCUUGGCUCACCUCCCAGGUUCAAGCGAUUCUGCUGCCUCUGCCUCCCGAGCAGCUGGGAUUCCAGGUACCCACCACCACACCCAGCUAAUUUUUUGUAUUUUCAGUAGAGAUGGGGUUUCACUAUGUUGGCCAGGCUGGUCUUGAACUCCUGACCUCAGGUAAUCCGCCUGCCUCGGCCUCCCAAAGUGCUGGGAUUACAGGCGUGAGCCAUCAUGCCUGGCCUCAAAGAUCAUUUCUUAGAGAAGAACAGCUAGCUGUCUCUGUCACCAUUAAUGAAAGCUUCAUUUUUUUCUGGUUUACCUGGGGGCUAUGGAAGAAGUGAUAAAGCCUUGUUUCUGACAUGGGCAUUUCUCCACAUCUCAGGGAGCCUGGUUGGACUUCAGGCCCCUGUGAGGCUGACUCUGUAGUCCUGGAGAAACUCAACAGCCAGGAACUUAGGACCAUUUGUGUGUGGCAUUUGGGCUAACCAGACUGGUGGCUUCUAAAGAAGAUGGAAAGCAUCACGUUUCCUGUAUUUAAAUUAUUUGGUGAUCUCAAUACUGGUUGUUAGCCAAAGUACACAAUGGAGACAGCCUAUUUGCUCUACUACUUUUGAUGUAGAAAUAUUACUAAGCUUGAGCUGAUUAAUAGAACUGUUACACAUUUCUGUGCUCCCCUUACUGGUGGCAUGAAAUAAUUCUUUUAAAACCUGCCAUGUGUUCACAUUUAAAACUAAAAGUAAUUUAGAUUACAUGGAUUUGAGAAGCCCAUGUUGACACGUAAUUGCCAACAGAUGGGCUUUCAAAUGUAAUGAAGUGAAAAUGGUCAGUACCCCAUGUGUUGGAUUUUGCAAUUUUCCAAAGUAAGCUGUCAUUUUUGGCAUGUCAUGCUAGUUAAGAACACAAUGUAUUUAUAGCUCAAUUAUACAUUUUCUGAUGAAUUUGGCAUGGCAUUUUGUUUUUCCAUCAGUCACUUAAGACAGGACAUUUGCCAUUCCAAGAAUGAAUUAACAC
rnacentral:lncRNA from 1 species